UUUCCAUAUUCUCUCUUUGUGUGUGUUUGGGUUUCUUCUGAGGACUCCAGUUUUCUCCAACAGUCCAAAAACAUGGAGAUCAGGUAAAUUGAAUGCUUUAAAUUGAUUUGUAUAUGUAUGUAUAUGAAUGUGUAUUGUAUAGGAUUGUGUGUGUGUGUAUAAAAUGUAUGUAUUACUGUGUGCCCAGAUUGGAUUGGCACUGUGUCCUGGGUAAAUGCUGCUCAAUGCAGUCCUCCAGGUGGACGGUUGUUUCCGUUUGAGAGUACGCUGUGCGCUAUUGGCUGCCGCUUCUUACUGGUUGUAGGUGAGGUCGUGCUGGAUUUCACUGACGAAUUUCUGGGCGUACUCGGGGUAAAGGCGCAGCACCUCGCGCAGACCCUUCAGGCUGAUGUACUGCAGAUCACAGUAGUAUUUGCAGUGCAGCAUUUACAAAGGACACAAGGCAGGAGGCAAGAGGACAAAUGAUGCUGGAAGAGGCAGAGAGCAAACAGAUGAGGAGAGAGAGAUGUGAUAGAGGAAGAUAAGAAAAGGAUGAUGGGAGGGUUAGAGGGUAGAGAAAGAAGUGUGAGUGUGUGUGUGUGUGUUUGAAGUUUCACAUUUACUGUACUCUCUAAGCUACAC